AGUGAACGCUGGCGGUAGGCCUAACACAUGCAAGUCGAACGGCAGCACAGUAAGAGCUUGCUCUUACGGGUGGCGAGUGGCGGACGGGUGAGGAAUACAUCGGAAUCUACUUUUUCGUGGGGGAUAACGUAGGGAAACUUACGCUAAUACCGCAUACGACCUACGGGUGAAAGCAGGGGAUCUUCGGACCUUGCGCGAUUGAAUGAGCCGAUGUCGGAGUAGCGAGUUGGCGGGGUAAAGGCCCACCAAGGCGACGCUCCGUAGCUGGUCUGAGAGGAUGAUAAGACACACUGGAACAGAGACACGGUCCAGACUCCUACGGGAAGCCGCAGUGGGGAAUAUUGGACAAUGGGCGCAAGCCAGAUCCAGCCAUACCGCGUGGGUGAAGAAGGCCUUCGGGUUGGAAAGCCCUUUUGUUGCGAAAGAAAAGCAGCAGGUUAAUACCCCGCUGUUCUGACGGUACCCAAAGAAUAAGCACCGGCUAACUUCGUG
rnacentral:rRNA from 1 species